GGCGGCGCGGGCGGCGGGGCGCGGACGGGUACCGGCCGCCGGAGGUCCGGCGGCCGAAGGAUCCGGUGCUGUUCCGGAUCUGCGCGCUGGCC
rnacentral:tRNA from 1 species